UACGUAGGCAGCAAGCGUUGUUCGGAGUUACUGGACGUAAAGGGUGCGUAGGUGGCUCUAUAAGUAUGGUGUGAAAUCUCCCGGCUUAACUGGGAGGGUGCGCCGUAGACUGUGGGGCUAGAGUGUGGGAGAGGAAAGUGGAAUUCCUGGUGUAGCGGUGAAAUGCGUAGAUAUCAGGAGGAACACCGGUGGUGUAAACGGCUUUCUGGACCAUAACUGACACUGAGGCACGAAAGCGUGGGUAGCAAACAGG
rnacentral:rRNA from 1 species